rnacentral:rRNA from 1 species
AGUGGCGCACGGGUGAGUAACGCGUGGAUAAUCUGCCCCUCAGUUGGGAAUAACUCAUCGAAAGGUGGGCUAAUACCGAAUAAUACUGUGAGACUUUGGUCGAUCAGUCAAAGAGAGCCUCUGCUUGCAAGCCCUCGCUGAAGGAUGAGUCCGCGUACCAUUAGCUUGUUGGCAGGGUAAUGGCCUACCAAGGCGACGAUGGUUAGCUGGUCUGAGAGGAUGAUCAGCCACACUGGAACUGAGACACGGUCCAGACUCCUACGGGAGGCAGCAGUGAGGAAUCUUGCGCAAUGGGGGCAACCCUGACGCAGCAACGCCGCGUGAGUGAGGAAGGUCUUCGGAUCGUAAAGCUCUGUCAGUUGGGAAGAACCACCCAAGGGUGAAUAUCUCUUGGGCUUGACGGUACCAACAGAGGAAACACCGGCUAACUCCGUGCCAGCAGCCGCGGUAAUACGGGGGGUGCAAGCGUUGUUCGGAAUUAUUGGGCGUAAAGAGCGUGUAGGCGGCCUGAUGUGUCAGAUGUGAAAGCCCUGGGCUUAACCCAGGAAGUGCAUUUGAAACUGUCAGGCUUGAGUAGGGGAGAGGGAAGUGGAAUUCCUGGUGUAGAGGUGAAAUUCGUAGAUAUCAGGAGGAACACCGGUGGCGAAGGCGACUUCCUGGCCCUAUACUGACGCUGAGACGCGAGAGCGUGGGUAGCAAACAGGAUUAGAUACCCUGGUAGUCCACGCCGUAAACGAUGUUCACUAGGUGUUGGGGGUAUUGACCCCCUCAGUGCCGGAGCUAACGCGUUAAGUGAACCGCCUGGGGAGUACGGUCGCA